UCUUAAUAGUGAGGUACAGUGUUUUUAUGGUUGUUUUUUUUUAUUAUUAUUCAUAAUUUUCAUGACACAUCAUCACCCUCAUAGUAACGUGCGCCUAAAAUGUGCAUUUUGUUCACAAAUUUUUGUUUUUCUUCUUUUGAGAUGAAAAAUUAAAAAGUCUGUGCUGCAGUGGAAUGGACAUUUCCCCCUCCAGGACCUACAAAAGCAUACUUCUGUGUGUGAUGGGACUAUUCAUAUUUGUACUGUAGUCCAUAUGAAAAACUGCUUGAGUGGACUGUCUGUCAAAAUAAAAAAAAGCAAGCCUACAGAUACAAAAAAAUCUCUGAAGACUUUCGUCUGCAAACACCCUGUAUAUCAGGGUCCAAUCACGAAUCUUCAGGAUGUGGGACAAUUCCCAGGGACGUCAUGUGUUAGUGUGUUUCUGUGAUCUUGUCUUUCACCACUCACAUCUGUAAAUAUUUUAAAAGAGUCCUAUAAAUACAAUGUUGAUUACGUGUACUGUAGUUUGAGUGCUAACUUUUAUAAGUUUAAAAGUUCCAAAAAAAUAAACAUUAAAGAACGCUUGCAGAUUUUUAAUUUUUUUCAAUAAAACUGUUGUAUGUAACAACAUAAAGCUGAGAAAAUGAAUUAAUAUAACUGCUAAUGUUGUAGGUGCAACAUCAGCAAACAUUUGUAAAUUGUAAAUGUAAAUGUGUGUUUUGUCUGUGUAAAAUGUGUAAAAUCAAAGAAACAAGAAUAUCUUGCAUUUUAACCUUACAUUUCUAGUUUAACCUCAAAAAGAUGCUCACAACAAGUGACAAAAUGUGUGCGUACAUUUUUAAGUCUUGCUAGUGUAAACAUUCAAGUGCAAGAAGAAUAAGAACUCAAUUCAGUUCUCGUUUUUUUGAGUGCGAACACAUGUACUACUAACAAAUCUAUAAAUCUAUAAACAAAGUCUACUAGUAUUCUCUAAUGACUGCUAGUUGCAAAGUUACUCAUUAGCCUAUGUCUAAAGUGGGCUAUCAAAAUAAAGUGUUAUCAUAAAUAAUCAAAUGUCUGUCUGCAAGUAAAACGUUACUGAGUGAAGCAACGUCAACUUGUCAGUGAAAGUUUUCUCCCUGAACAUCUGUGUUUUGGACCGUUUAUCAGAGCGCAGUGGUGUACGUUCUGAAACUUUGAGUAACCACUUCUUCUUUCAGUUGUGCUGAAGUGUAGAGUUUUUGCAGCGCUCUGACGACUACACUUAUUUGAGAGUCAAAUGCAAGGAUUUUCGUCCAUAAUUAAGUUUUUCAUUUUCUUCAUCUACGUACCUUUUGUUUACUCAGAGUCACACACUUUCAUGACUACAUACACUGGAAUAAAUGGACUGACGAUUGCAGGAAUCCCAGAGUUUUCUGCUGUAACGACACUGGAUGGACAGCAGAUUGAUUAUUAUGACAGUGAGAUAAAGGAGCUGAUUCCCCGACAGGACUGGAUGAAGGAGUUCAGUGCAACUGGAGACACAUGGAAAGAAGAUACUGAGAUCAGAGAACAAGUACAGCGUUAUUAAGUUGUCUUGAGAAAGCCACUACUGCACUAAGCAUUACUGAAAUGCUAUUUAAACUUCGUCGUCUUCUUCUGAGACUAAAAUUAUCAACUCUAACUCCUCCUAGAGCUUUAACUCUACAAACUCCAAACUCAGCCCAGAUCUUCAGGCUGAUCUGAAGUGUGUUGCUGUAUCUUUUUUUGAUCAAACUGAUCAGACUCAUGGUUUUCAUAUAGAUUUUUCAUAUCUAUCUAUAAUAGCAGCCAGAAUCAUGUUAGUAACUUGCUAAUCAUCCUAGAAACAUGUUAACAUGCUGUUAAUCAUGCUAGAAACAUGCUAGCAACAUGCUAAUCAUACUAGAAACAUACUAGCAUGUUGUUAAUCUUCUAGUAUCUUGCUAAUAAUGUUAGAAUCAUGCUAACAACAUGUUAAUAAUCUAUCUAUCUGUCUGUCUGUCUAACAAACUGCAUUUAAACUUUUAAAAUCUUUUAAAACUACUUUAAUUUAAAACUUUUCAAACUUUUCAAACUUUUUCAAACUUUCUGGUCCGGUUUUCUCAAGCCAACUUAAAGUUUGUCUUGACAAACUUUUUUAUCUAGUUUUAUCUUGGAAUUGGAAUUGAAAAUGUCACAAUUUCAGCUUUGCGCCACCUAGUGGUGAUUUUGUGUACGAGUUUCACAUGUGACUGGGUUGUAUUUACUGCCACACCGCUAACAGGUGUUUUAGUUGACUACCUGUUGUACAUCCUUCAUGUUUCUUCAGACAAUUGGAAGAUGAACCAGUAUUUUUGUGUGGCGGAGCACAAGGGAAAGACCAUUCAGUAGAUUCGUGAUCAAGAGUAACAACAGUAAGUUGCUAAUAGUUCAGAAUAAUGGUUUAUGCUCACAUUUUGGUUGUACUACCCAUUUAAUGUACUAAACAGUGAUUUUUGUUUGCUUGUUUAUAAACAGUGUAAUUCCAAACAUUUCCUUUUAAUCAUUAAAUUACUUUGCAGAAACUGAGCAGAAAUCAAAAUGAAAAGCCAACCUAUAGUGACAAACAACUUUGAAGAGUUUCCUCCAAUCAUCUGCACUUUUCCCUGAUUUCAGUAUAACUGGGAAUCCUCAGGAUAUGAGAGAACAGAUGAUUUCCAGCAUGCAUGUGUGACCAAAAUAUGUUUUGCUAUUCUUUGUUUUCUUUUUUUUUUUCCUUGUAAUUAUACAAUUUUAGUACAAUGCUUCUUUUUUCAAUUUGUAAGUUUACUGAUUAAGUGUAGUUUUGUGGGCUUUUAUGACUUGAAAUGUAAAAAAAUGAAACAUUGAAAAUUCAGUGCAGUUGUUGCAAUUUUCUUUUUUUCAUCAAAAUGGUUGUAAGACACAAUUUAAAGUUGAAAAAAACUAAAGCAAGUUUUAAGGAUAAUUUAAUAAUGAUAUGUGCAACAUCAGUUAAAUUUGUAGGUAAAUAAUGUGUUUUGUAAGUUAAAAGUGGAACUAAACUCUGCAGGAAGGUAGAUCUCCAGGAACAGGGUUGAGCACCCCUGCUUUAUAGUGGUUAAACAUUAGAUUAGAUUAGAUUAGAUUAGAUUCAACUUUAUUGUCAUUACACAUGUACAAGUACAAGGCAACAAAAUGCAGUUUAGGUCUAACCAGGAGUGCAAUAAGCAGUAAGUGCAGGAUAAAGGUAUAAGUUAUAAGUGCACUUAAAAGGGAUAUGUGCAGGGAGAAACUAUGGGUAAUAUUUACAGAUGGAUAUACUGUGAGCAUAAUAUACAGAUUGCUAGUAACUAUAAUCAGAGAUUUACAAUAGAUGAACAAUAUAUACAAGUUGCUAUUAACUGUAAUCAGGAAUUUGCAGAUAGAUAUGAACAUAAUGAACAGGUUGCUAUUUUCUAUAAACAGGAAUUUACAAAUAGACAUGUACAGAUAUAUAUGUAAUCAGAAAUUUACAAAUGUAUUGUGCAAUGGAUAUUUGCUUUUCAAAUAGGUAUGUACAGUGUAGUGCAAUAAAUAUUAAAUAGUGCAAUGGUAAU